GUNNANNCUUUAAGCGAGGAGGANGCUACCUAGAUUAAUACUUUAGGAUAGUGGACGUUACUCGCAGAAUAAGCACCGGCUAACUCUGUGCCAGCAGCCGCGGUAAUACAGAGGGUGCGAGCGUUAAUCGGAUUUACUGGGCGUAAAGCGUGCGUAGGCGGCCAAUUAAGUCAAAUGUGAAAUCCCCGAGCUUAACUUGGGAAUUGCAUUCGAUACUGGUUGGCUAGAGUAUGGGAGAGGAUGGUAGAAUUCCAGGUGUAGCGGUGAAAUGCGUAGAGAUCUGGAGGAAUACCGAUGGCGAAGGCAGCCAUCUGGCCUAAUACUGACGCUGAGGUACGAAAGCAUGGGGAGCAAACAGGAUUAGAUACCCUGGUAGUCCAUGCCGUAAACGAUGUCUACUAGCCGUUGGGGCCCUUGAGGCUUUAGUGGCGCAGCUAACGCGAUAAGUAGACCGCCUGGGGAGUACGGUCGCAAGACUAAAACUCAAAUGAAUUGACGGGGGCCCGCACAAGCGGUGGAGCAUGUGGUUUAAUUCGAUGCAACGCGAAGAACCUUACCUGGCCUUGACAUACAGAGAACUUUCCAGAGAUGGAUUGGUGCCUUCGGGAACNNNGAUACAGGUGCUGCAUGGCUGUCGUCAGCUCGUGUCGUGAGAUGUUGGGUUAAGUCCCGCAACGAGCGCAACCCUUUUCCUUAUUUGCCAGCACUUCGGGUGGGAACUUUAAGGAUACUGCCAGUGACAAACUGGAGGAAGGCGGGGACGACGUCAAGUCAUCAUGGCCCUUACGGCCAGGGCUACACACGUGCUACAAUGGUCGGUACAAAGGGUUGCUACACAGCGAUGUGAUGCUAAUCUCAAAAAGCCGAUCGUAGUCCGGAUUGGAGUCUGCAACUCGACUCCA
rnacentral:rRNA from 1 species